rnacentral:rRNA from 1 species
AUUGAACGCUGGCGGCAGGCCUAACACAUGCAAGUCGAACGAGUGGCGGACGGGUGAGUAAUGUCUGGGAAACUGCCCGAUGGAGGGGGAUCACUACUGGAAACGGUAGCUAAUACCGCAUACCAUCGGAUGUGCCCAGAUGGGAUUAGCUAGUAGGUGGGGUAACGGCUCACCUAGGCGACGAUCCCUAGCUGGUCUGAGAGGACGACCAGCCACACUGGAACUGAGACACGGUCCAGACUCCUACGGGAGGCAGCAGUGGGGAAUAUUGGACAAUGGGGGCAACCCUGAUCCAGCCAUGCCGCGUGCAGGAUGAAGGUCUUCGGAUUGUAAACUACUUUUGUCAGGGAGGCGGUACCCGAAGAAUAAGCACCGGCUAACUCCGUGCCAGCAGCCGCGGUAAUAC